CCCAAUAAAGAAGUUUGCAAUGGCAAUAAGGAGAACAAUUAGAAGAAUAACUUGAGCCUGUUGAUAGAAACAAAGAUUUCCCCAAUGAUUUUAAUUUAUAUUGACAAUGGAGAUGGCUAAAUACAGUUCUAAGCUUUUGUCACCGCAGAAUAUGAAAAGAGUCCUAUUCUAGACCUGAUUCCUACAUUCUGAGCUUUACCUUUGCUUCCCAUUCCAUGCCGGCAACAGAGAUGCCAAGAAGACAUACAACAGUUAUGGUACCUAUUAUUCUGAUAUCAUUGGACUCAUCUACCAUUAUUGUAUCACUCUCCUGGAAAGAAGAAAAUAUUUACUCGUCUUCUAAGGAGGUAGCUGAAAUGCAAGGGGUAUUAUAAAGAAUUAUACUGGAAGGAAUUAAGUUGAAGAUAU
rnacentral:lncRNA from 1 species